rnacentral:rRNA from 1 species
GUCGCCCGCGGAUGUGGGCGAUGCUGGGGACUCUAUGGGGACUGCCGGCGAGGAGCCGGAGGAAGGAGGGGACGACGUCAAGUCCGUGUGGCCCUUAUGUCCGGGGCUACACACGCGCUACAAUGGGCGGUACAGAGGGAAGCGACCCUGCGAGGGGGAGCGAAUCCCUAAAACCGCCCCAGUUCGGAUUGCAGGCUGAAACCCGCCUGCAUGAAGGAGGAGUCGCUAGUAAUCACCUAUCAGCUAUGGGGUGGUGAA